rnacentral:lncRNA from 1 species
CGGCUUCUCUUGUCGCUGGGUGGAGAGUUGGGUUAGCAAUGGACCGGUCCAAGCCCUGCUGCCUUGUCCGUCCGUAGCCCGGAGCCUUAGCCGGCCAUCAUCAUCAGAAAGGUGGGAUCGGGCUAGCGAGGGUGCAGGGCUGCUACUAUGCGAUCCUCUGAAAGGCCUAGUGAUGCUACGCUCGAAAACUCCAACAUCCUCUGAAACGCCUAGUGAUCCUCUGAAAAGCCUAGUGUUUGAAAGACAUGGAGAAAGGAAAGGCACAAGGUUCUACCCAAAAAAAAAGGCACAAGGAGAAACUCCGAGAGGGACAUGACGCAGGGACAAGAUUUGUUUACUUCUGAACGUGUCGAGUCUCCAUUGGCUGCAUGGAGAUUGGGAUCCAAGAGGAGAGGAGCCCAUGCAUGAUCGUUCUUGGCUCC